rnacentral:rRNA from 1 species
CACGUAGGGCGCAAGCGUUGUCCGGAAUUAUUGGGCGUAAAGAGCGCGCAGGCGGUCUAUCAAGUCAGAUGUGAAAUAUCCGGGCUUAACCCGGAGGGGUCAUUUGAAACUGGUAGACCUAGAGUACAGCAGAGGAUAGCGGAAUUCCCGGUGUAGUGGUGAAAUGCGUAGAUAUCGGGAGGAACACCAGUGGCGAAGGCGGCUAUCUGGGCUGAAACUGACGCUGAGGCGCGAAGGCUAGGGGAGCAAACAGG